AGAGUUUGAUCCUGGCUCAGGACGAACGCUGGCGGCGUGCUUAACACAUGCAAGUCGAACGACUUAUUCAACGGAAGUUUUCGGAUGGAAGUUGUUUAGGUUAGUGGCGGACGGGUGCGUACGCGUGGGUAACCUGCCCUUGUUUCUGGGACAACAGUUGGAAACGACUGCUAAUACCGGUACGCUCUUCGUGAGGCAUCUCACUUAGAGGAAAGGUGGCCUCUAUUUAUAAGCUACUGACAAGGAUGGACCCGCGUCUGAUUAGAUAGUUGGUGAGGUAACGGCUCACCAAGUCGACGACAGUAGCCGGCCUGAGAGGGUGGCCGGCCACAUUGGGACUGAGACACGGCCCAGACUCCUCGGGAGGCAGCAGUGGGGAAUCUUCCGCAAUGGGCGAAAGCCUGACGGAGCAACGCCGCGGAGUGAAGAAGGCCUUCGGGUCGUAAAGCUCUGUCUUCAGGGACGAAAACCAUCGGUGUGAUAAUGCCGAUGCCUGACGGUACCUGAGGAGGAAGCUCCGGCUAACUACGUGCCAGCAGCGCGGUAAUACGUAGGGAGCGAGCGUUGUCCGGAUUUACUGGGCGUAAAGGGCGUGUAUGCGAGUUCUAAGUAGGGUG
rnacentral:rRNA from 1 species